UUUCCUUGUCUCCAAAAUGAGGGCUGAGCUUUGAAUAAGAUCCUGUAUUUAACACAGCACAUGACAUAGAGAAAACACAUAUUUGUUACCUAUUAUUAUUUCCAAAGACAGUCCACCCUAAUUACCAACAGACAGCGAUGAACCUUGGAUAAGCUUUCUCCAGUUGCUCCCUCCUCCAAACUGGAAAGAAAAUCUUGGGGAAGGCCAGGUAUUGUGGCUCAUGCCUGUAAUCCCAGCACUUUUAGAGGCCAAGGCAGGCGGAUCGCUUGAGCCUAGGCAUUCAAGACCAGCCUAGGCAACGUGGUGAAACCCCGUCUCUACAAAAAAUACAAGAAUCAACUGGGCGUGGUGACACAUGCCUGUAGUCCCAGCUACCGGGGAGGUUUGGGUGGGAAGAGGGAGGAUGACUUGAGCCCAGAAGGCUGAGACUGCAGUGAGCUGAGAUUGUACCACUGCACUCCAGCCUGGGCAACAGAGCAAGACACUGUCUCAAAAAAACAAAACAAAACAAAAAGUCUUGGGGAAAAUCACUGAAAACACAGUUAUC
rnacentral:lncRNA from 10 species